ensembl:lncRNA
CGACCAUCCACCUUUGUAGAGCGCUGCAGGCCCUUUCUGUUUCACUUCCUGACAUUAGGAGGCGUUCCUGACCGAUUGCUGCUAUGUGAUUGGCUGGCACAGGUCAUGAUACUGCUCCUGCAAGAGCUGAACAGACUGACUGAGGAGCAGUUUACCAGUUUCAAGUGGCAACUGGGAUGCAGGAUGCGGGAUAUACCUGCAUACAAGCUGGAGAGGGCAGACCGACAUGAAACUGUGGAUCUGAUGGUGCAGCAUCACCCCCAUCAGGCCGUGGUCUUCACCACUGACAUUUUUAGGGCCAUCGCCAGGAACGAUCUGGCUGAGCAUCUGACUCAGCAACUGGCUGAUAUCAACAUGGGAGAUCUGAGAUGACGGGUCUUCGCCUGAAGCUCCGGAAGCAUCAUAACACUCUCAGCUCCCACAGCGCCACGUUCACCAGCACGAAAUACAAAUCCAUGUUUGUUUAUUGAUAAAUAAUCAACUUGUUUGACAUUAUCUCUGCCUCUGUGACCCAAACUCUGUGUUACAGCUCCACCGUCAGGGCAACACUGGACUGUCCACCCUUAUGUAACCGGGUUAUAAUUAGAGAUGGCACGAUACCACUUUUUUAUGUCCGAUACCGAUAUCAUAAAUUUGGAUAUCUGCCGAUACCGAUAUGAAUCUGAUAUAGUGUUUUUUAAUCAAUAAAACUGUUUUUUUAAUAUCUUGCUGCAUUUUGUAUAAGUUCAUACUCAAGUUUAAAUAAACAACAACACUAAAGCUAUUCUGUUAUACUUGUAUGUAAAAAAUACACUGCACCCAAAAUAUUUCAUAGUUCAGCAACACUGAU